UACUCAAGGAGGUGACUGCUGUACU
rnacentral:piRNA from 1 species